CCUGAAGGAACGUUAAAGACGAUGACGUUGAUAGGCCGGGUGUGUAAGCGCAGCGAUGCGUUGAGCUAACCGGUACUAAUGAACCGUGAGGCUUAACCUUACAACGCCGAAG
rnacentral:rRNA from 2 species